AUCGGUUAAGUCUUGUUGAGCUUAGUAGCUCAGCCUUGUUGUGGCUCCUGUUUUUUAGGUGUAGUUGCUGCUUCCGACCCCUCUCCGGUUGGUGCUUGGCCGCCCCGGCUCCCGCCAGGCUGGACGGUCGAGUGGGACCCCUCCUCGGACGGCGAGGAGAGGACUCAGUGAUGUUCUGGCUGGCCUCGCCCGGACAUCCGAUCCCGACGAAGUCUUCCGCUAG
rnacentral:lncRNA from 1 species